rnacentral:rRNA from 1 species
UACGAAGGGGGCUAGCGUUGCUCGGAAUCACUGGGCGUAAAGGGUGCGUAGGCGGGUCUUUUAAGUCAGGGGUGAAAUCCCGGGGCUCAACCUCGGAACUGCCUUUGAUACUGCGAAUCUCGAGUCCGGAAGAGGUGAGUGGAAUUCCUAGUGUAGAGGUGAAAUUCGUAGAUAUUAGGAAGAACACCAGUGGCGAAGGCGGCUCACUGGUCCGGUACUGACGCUGAGGUGCGAAAGCGUGGGGAGCAAACAGGG